rnacentral:rRNA from 1 species
UAGGGAAUAUUGCACAAUGGGCGCAAGCCUGAUGCAGCCAUGCCGCGUGUGUGAAGAAGGCCUUCGGGUUGUAAAGCACUUUCAGCGAGGAGGAAGGGUAGUGUGUUAAUAGCACAUUGCAUUGACGUUACUCGCAGAAGAAGCACCGGCUAACUCCGUGCCAGCAGCCGCGGUAAUACGGAGGGUGCAAGCGUUAAUCGGAAUUACUGGGCGUAAAGCGCACGCAGGCGGUUUGUUAAGUCAGAUGUGAAAUCCCCGCGCUUAACGUGGGAACUGCAUUUGAAACUGGCAAGCUAGAGUCUUGUAGAGGGGGGUAGAAUUCCAGGUGUAGCGGUGAAAUGCGUAGAGAUCUGGAGGAAUACCGGUGGCGAAGGCGGCCCCCUGGACAAAGACUGACGCUCAGGUGCGAAAGCGUGGGGAGCAAACA